rnacentral:rRNA from 1 species
UACGUAGGGACCUAGCGUUGUCCGGAAUCAUUGGGCGUAAAGCGCGCGUAGGCGGCCCGGUAAGUCCGUUGUAAAAGUCAAAGGCUCAACCUUUGAAAGCCGAUGGAUACUGCCGGGCUAGAGUACGGAAGAGGCGAGUAGAAUUCCUGGUGUAGCGGUGGAAUGCGCAGAUAUCAGGAAGAAUACCCAUAGCGAAGGCAGCUCGCUGGGACGUUACUGACGCUGAGGCGCGAAAGCGUGGGGAGCGAACAGG